CCUUGUGAGUUGUGAUGUAAACAGAAAAUUCUCCCUCAAAAAGAAAGUUGCGAAAUACUCCAGAAAUUAAAAACCCUCCAUCAACCUAAACCCCCAUCCGCGAAAAACCUCCAUCAGCGAAAACCUCCACCCGCGAAAUACUCCAGAAUUGAAACUCGACCUCCAUCAACAAAUUGAAGAUGAAAUUGCUAAAUUGUUCUAUUCUCAAAUUUCUCCCCAUUUCAUUUUUACUAAUCUUAGGGUUUCUGCGCUAUAAUUCUUUUUUUUUUCUUUUGCAGGAGUAUAAUUAAAAUUUAAUCUUAGUUGUUGAUCGAGAUGAAUUCGUGGAGGGAUCCGUGAAAUCAUUUCGUGCUGAUCUUGGAUCUACUCGUUAUUCGAUGCUAUCGACAGUGUGAUGGAAAAUUGGUUUUCAAAGUCACCGAUUACAGGGAGGUUUUUACCAAUGUUCAGGCUGAUAGCUCUAUGUAAACUGGAAAUAAUGAUGGAAAUAGCUUCUUGACUGCCACUACCAUGUUCAGGCGCGUUAUCUCAGCCUUGUACACUACCCCGACGACUCGCACUUUUUGUACACAAACAGAAAUAUAAACUCUUAUGUUGUGAUGUUGUCAGACAAUUCAUAUGGCUCUUUGAGGAUGCGAGGAAUAAGGAUAUCGAGAAUGUUCUGAUAUUUUCUGAUGAUCAGCUCUACAGAAUGGACUAUAUGGAUCUUGUGCAGAAUCACAUUUACAGAAACUCCGAUAUCACAGUUUCUUGUUUCUUGUGUUCCUUUGGGUGAGAGUUAUGCUUCCACGGUGACAAUUCUAGCAUUUUUGUUUAAUUUUUUUUAUCCAUACAUUUACUUAAGUUUCCUGCUUGUAUUUGGCUUCAUUUACGCCUUUUACCAGCCGUGCAUAUGAUUAUAGAUUGAUGAAGAUAGACAGCAUAGGCCAAGUUGUCCAGUUUUGUGAAAAACCCAAGGGGGCUGACUUGGAAUCUAUGGUGACAAAUCUUUCUAUUAUGUGCUUAUGUUUUCUUUGUUUAUACAACUGAAAGGAUGAAGUAGGAAGUGGACACCCAAAUCCUUUAGUUAUCUCAAAAAGAUGCAUCAAGUAAUCCUUACACAACAUCCA